GUAAGGAAUAUUGGUCAAUGGACGAAAGUCUGAACCAGCCAUGCCGCGUGAAGGAUGAAGGCCCUCUGGGUUGUAAACUUCUUUUAUCUGGGACGAAAAAAGGGUAUUCUUACUCACUUGACGGUACCAGAGGAAUAAGCACCGGCUAACUCCGUGCCAGCAGCCGCGGUAAUACGGAGGGUGCAAGCGUUAUCCGGAUUCACUGGGUUUAAAGGGUGCGUAGGUGGGUAUUUAAGUAAGUGGUGAAAUCUCCGAGCUUAACUCGGAAACUGACAUUGAUACUAUUUACCUUGAAUGCCCUGGAGGUAAGCGGAAUAUGUCAUGUAGCGGUGAAAUGCUUAGAUAUGACAUAGAACACCAAUUGCGAAGGCAGCUUACUACGGGGUGAUUGACACUGAGGCACGAAAGCGUGGGGAGCAAACAGGAUUAGAAACCCUAGUAGUCC
rnacentral:rRNA from 1 species